GAUGAACGCUGGCGGCGUGCCUAAUACAUGCAAGUCGAGCGAACAGAUGAGGAGCUUGCUCCUCUGACGUUAGCGGCGGACGGGUGAGUAACACGUGGAUAACCUACCUAUAAGACUGGGAUCACUUCGGGAAACCGGAGCUAAUACCGGAUAAUAUAUUGAACCGCAUGGUUCAAUAGUGAAAGACGGUUUUGCUGUCACUUAUAGAUGGAUCCGCGCAGCAUUAGCUAGUUGUUAAGGUAACGGCUUACCAAGGCAACGAUGCGUAGCCGACCUGAGAGGGUGAUCGGCCACACUGGAACUGAGACACGGUCCAGACUCCUACGGGAGGCAGCAGUAGGGAAUCGUCCGCAAUGGGCGAAAGCCUGACGGAGCAACGCCGCGUGAGUGAUGAAGGUCUUCGGAUCGUAAAACUCUGUUAUUAGGGAAGAACAAAUGUGUAAGUAACUAUGCACGUCUUGACGGUACCUAAUCAGAAAGCCACGGCUAACUACGUG
rnacentral:rRNA from 1 species